CCUCAUCUGUGGACUGGAGAGAGAAAGGCUAUGUAACUUCGGUGAAGGAGCAGAACGAAUCCUGCAAAUACAAGCCUGAGAGUUCUGCCGCCAACGUGACUGCCUUCUGGAGUGUCGUAAACAAGGAGGAUGGCCUAAUGACGACCGUGGCAACUUGGCAACUGUGGCACCCAUCGCUACUACUGUAGAUGCAAGCCUGAAUUCUUUCAAGUUCUAUAAAAAAAGGCUGACAUGCUGGAAUAGAAUGACAAAGGAAUUUAUUAUGAUCCAAAGUGCACCACUAAACACCCGAAUCAUGCUGUUCUGGUGGUUGGCUAUGGCUUUAAAGGAGAAGAAUUGGAUAACAAAAAUUAUUGGAUUGUCAAGAACAGGUAUAAAAGCCAAAAAUAUUUAUCUUUGGAAUUGAAGAGGAAAUCCUUUCUGGAAUCAGUUUUUGGACACAUGUCGUCAAACCCUUG